CCUACGGGAGGCAGCAGUUGGGAAUCUUGGGCAAUGGGCGCAAGCCUGACCCAGCGACACCGCGUGGGGGACGAAGGCCUUCGGGUUGUAAACCCCUGUCAGGGGGGACGAAGCCGCAAGGUGACGGUACCUCCAGAGGAAGCCCCGGCUAACUACGUGCCAGCAGCCGCGGUAAGACGUAGGGGGCGAGCGUUGUCCGGAGUUACUGGGCGUAAAGCGCGUGCAGGCGGUUCGUUAAGUCCCGUGUGAAAUCUCCCGGCUCAACCGGGAGGGGCCGCGGGAUACUGGCGGGCUUGAGGGCGGUAGAGGGUAAUGGAAUUCCCGGUGUAGGGGUGAAAUGCGUAGAUAUCGGGAGGAACGCC
rnacentral:rRNA from 1 species